rfam:Triticum urartu cultivar G1812 contig1189438, whole genome shotgun sequence.
AUAAUACUUCCUUCGUCCCAAAUUACUUGUCGUAGAAAUGGAUGUAUCUAGAAAAUUCGUCUAGAUACAUCCAUUUCUAUGACAAGUAAUUCAGGAUGGAGGGAGUAUGAA